rnacentral:rRNA from 1 species
CCAAUAGCGUAUAUUAAAGUUGUUGCAGUUAAAAAGCUCGUAGUUGAAUGUCGGGAUUAGUACGCUGGUCGUGCCUUCGGUACGUACUGGUGUUACUGAUUCCUACCUUCUGACGAACUAUCAUGUCAUUAAUUUGGUGUGGCGGGGAAUCAGGACGGUUACUUUGAAAAAAUUAGAGUGUUUAAAGCAGGCUCGCGCUUGAAUACAUUAGCAUGGAAUAAUGAGAUAGGACGUUGAUCCUAUUUUGUUGGUUUCUAGGAUUGACGUAAUGAUUAAUAGGGAUAGUUGGGGGCAUUAGUAUUCAAUUGUCAGAGGUGAAAUUCUUGGAUUUAUUGAAGACUAACUACUGCGAAAGCAUUUGCCAAGGAUGUUUUCAUUAAUCAAGAACGAAAGUUAGGGGAUCGAAGACGAUCAGAUACCGUCGUAGUCUUAACCAUAAACUAUGCCGACUAGGGAUCGGAUGAUGUUAUUUUUAAUGACUCAUUCGGCGCCUUACG